rfam:Schistosoma haematobium scaffold416_33, whole genome shotgun sequence.
GCACUGCUGAGGAGUCCCAUACCAGGACGAGACGGCUGUCCAGUGC